rnacentral:rRNA from 1 species
UACGUAGGGUGCGAGCGUUGUCCGGAAUUAUUGGGCGUAAAGAGCUUGUAGGCGGUUUGUCGCGUCUGCUGUGAAAAUCCGAGGCUCAACCUCGGACUUGCAGUGGGUACGGGCAGACUAGAGUGUGGUAGGGGAGACUGGAAUUCCUGGUGUAGCGGUGAAAUGCGCAGAUAUCAGGAGGAACACCGGUGGCGAAGGCGGGUCUCUGGGCCGUAACUGACGCUGAGGAGCGAAAGCGUGGGGAGCGAACAGG